AACGAACGCUGGCGGCAUGCCUAACACAUGCAAGUCGAACGAGACCUUCGGGUCUAGUGGCGCACGGGUGCGUAACGCGUGGGAACCUGCCCUUAGGUUCGGAAUAACUCCCCGAAAGGGGUGCUAAUACCGGAUAAUGUCUUCGGACCAAAGAUUUAUCGCCUUUGGAUGGGCCCGCGUUGGAUUAGCUAGUUGGUAGGGUAAAAGCCUACCAAGGCGACGAUCCAUAGCUGGUCUGAGAGGAUGAUCAGCCACACUGGGACUGAGACACGGCCCAGACUCCUACGGGAGGCAGCAGGGGGGAAUAUGGGACAAGGGGCGAAAGCCUGAUCCAGCAAUGCCGCGUGAGUGAUGAAGGCCUUAGGGUUGUAAAGCUCUUUUACCCGGGAUGAUAAUGACAGUACCGGGUGAAUAAGCUCCGGCUAACUCCGU
rnacentral:rRNA from 1 species